CCUGAGAGGAAUUGCUCACAAAACACGCUCUGUGUUUCUACUCUCAGACACAUAUUCCUGGAAUUAAUAUGUCACCACCUUGUCUGGGGUCCCUGCCUGACAGAAGAUGUUUACCAUGAUAUAAGUCACAAACCACAUGAUGGAGUCAUCCUGGGUACUCAUUCCCAGAUGAAUGGGUAAAGGAAGUGUGUACAGAUGGAGUAGUAUUUGGCCACAAGGAAGAAGAAAACUGUGACAGUUAUAAGAAAACUGAUGGAACUAGAGAUCAUGAUGUCAAAUGAAAUCAACCAGACUGUAUUUUCUCUUUCAUAUAAGACUAUAUGAAACCCAGUGGGUUUGACAUCACAGAAGGAGGAGGGCUAUAAGUGAAGGGGAUGGGGAAAAGGGGAGAAGAGAGGGACAAGACAGGUGAGACGUGAAUAUGAACAAAGUGUGUUACAUGCACACUUGAAACCAUUGCAGUGAGCCCAUUCCUUUGUACCCCUAAACACAUUUAAAAUGUAGAAGCAAUACCUGUUGUGUCCCGCUGAUGCUAAAGACGGCAGUCAGGAAAACAUGGAGAAAUGUAAGCAGUUCAAUUUGUAAUUGAAAGAGCUCAAAUCAAGCACUCUUAGCAGAGAAGCUUAACUGACCUUUGGAAACACAGGCAGAUAAUACCAAACCCAGGGGUAUUGAGCCCAAGUUAAAACUGCAUGGGGUGUCCGCCGACCAACCCAGGAACUAGAACCCUCAUCCAGCGGCUGAUGGAAGCAGAGACAGACAUCCACAGUUAUACACUGAGCUGAAAUCUGGAAUUUAGUUGAAGAGAGGGAGGAAUGAAGAGCGAAGGGGUCUGUACCAGGUUGGAGAAACCCACAGGAACAGUUGGCCUGAACAAGGGAGAGCGCAUCGACCCCAGAUGCUGUCUGGGAGGCCAGUACAAGACUGAUCCAGACCCCUGAACAUGGAUGUCAAUAAGGAGGUCUCUGCACUCCAGGGAGCAUCUGGUUGUGUAUUAGUAUUUUUCCC
ensembl:lncRNA